rnacentral:misc_RNA from 1 species
AAGUCGUAACAAGGUUUCCGUAGGUGAACCUGCGGAAGGAUCAUUAACACGUAUCCAACGUUAAACCCCCCGUGAACCUUCAUUGUGCUUCGCCCCUUGUUAGAAAGACAUGGCAAUCCCUGGUAAAUCAAUCGCCGAAAUAAUUUUUGAUUCAGGGACUUCCAGGAAAGGCGCGGUGAGAUAGCGCGAGGUAAGUGGCCUGGCAUUUUCCUGCUAGUAAGUGUUCUGAAAGUGUCACUUUCUUAGCAGCAAAUGGCGCAGUCACGAUCGCUAGAGGCCAUCACGGCCGGCGACCGGGUCACUGGGCUCUGCCCCCCUAUCACCUUUGCAUGAAAACGGGGAUGCGCUUAAUUGUAGCUCCCACCAAACUUCGAACAACUGUUAACAAUGGAUAUCUUGGUUCUC